rnacentral:rRNA from 1 species
AGUAACACGUGGAUAAUCUACCCGACAGUCGGGGAUAACAUUCCGAAAGGAAUGCUAAUACCUGAUAAGCCUACGCCCUCUUCGGAGGAAGUAGGAAAAGGUGGGGACCUUCGGGCCUGCCGUUGUUGGAUGAGUCCGCGGCCCAUUAGCUAGUUGGUAGGGUAAUGGCCUACCAAGGCUACGAUGGGUAGCUGGUCUGAGAGGAUGAUCAGCCACACUGGAACUGAGACACGGUCCAG